AUUGAACGCUGGCGGCAGGCCUAACACAUGCAAGUCGAACGAGUGGCGGACGGGUGCGUAAUGUCUGGGAAACUGCCUGAUGGCGGGGGAUAACUACUGGACACGGUAGCUAAUACCGCAUACCAUCAGAUGUGCCCAGAUGGGAUUAGCUUGUUGGUGGGGUAACGGCGCACCAAGGCGACGAUCCCUAGCUGGUCUGAGAGGAUGACCAGACACACGGGAACUGAGACACGGACCAGACUCCGACGGGAGGCAGAAGUGGGGAAUAGUGCACAAUGGGCGCAAGCCUGAUGCAGCCAUGCCGCGUGUAGGAAGAAGGCCUUAGGGUUGUAAAGUACUUUCAGCGGGGAGGCGUUACCCGCAGAAGAAGCACCGGCUAACUCCGUGCCAGCAGCCGCGGUAAUAC
rnacentral:rRNA from 1 species